GAUGAACGCUAGCGGCAGGCCUCAUACAUGCAAGUCGAGGGGCAGCAGGACACUUCGGUGUUGCUGGCGACCGGCGCACGGGUGCGUAACACGUAUGCAAUCUACCUUGUACUGGAGCAUAGCUCUCGGAAACGAGAAUUAAUACUCCAUAUUAUCCCAUUAGCGCAUGCUAGUGGGAUGAAAGCUCCGGCGGUACAAGAUGGGCAUGCGGCCCAUUAGCUAGUUGGUGAGGUAACGGCUCACCAAGGCGACGAUGGGUAGGGGUUUUGAGAGGAAGAUCCCCCACACUGGCACUGAAACACGGGCCAGACUCCUACGGGAGGCAGCAGUAGGGAAUAUUGGUCAAUGGGCGCAAGCCUGAACCAGCCAUGCCGCGUGCAGGAUGAAGGCCCUCUGGGUUGUAAACUGCUUUUAUAUGGGAAUAAAAAACCCUUGCGAGGGUUAUUGAAGGUACCAUAAGAAUAAGUACCGGCUAACUCCGUGCCAGCCGCCGCAGUAAGAC
rnacentral:rRNA from 1 species